GCAGGACCCCCAGCCUAUCCACUAACCUGGAUGUUGAGAAAGGGCUCUCUUGGCCCCCUUCCCUGCCCAGCUCUUUCCGUCCUCCUGCCUCUGCCCGGUCCCCACCCCUUCCGCAGAGACCCAGCUCCACAGGGCCUGGGCCUCUGAAAAAUCGCGGGGGUGGGGGGUGAUGCGCUCUACCAGGGGAACCUGGGGAGGCGGGGCGGUGCUCCAAGUCCCCUUGGUCGCACCCCCAGCCAUUCCCGAUCUUGCAUACCCGCGAGGCUUCCCUGCCCUCUCUGUGCAGCCAAAAGAGGUAAAUGCACGACUUGCAAGCUGGCGCACCAGGUGAAAAGAGCGGCUGCGCCUGCAGAGACUUUCUUACAAAAAUGCCUGUUUGGGAUUCCUCAGAGUACAGACAAAAAGGAAGGCUUGAUCAGCAUGUGGUGGAUCUGAAGAUUCAAAGAGGUGCCACAGCUCAAAAGUAGACAUUUUGGCAAAUGUGAAGAAGUGAGAUUCAAUGAAGAUGAUAAGAAAUGAAAGGUGUUCCCAAAAAGUAUGAAACAAUGUUAAUAAUCACCACCGCAACAAUGAGAACAAUGCUGAAGCAACCUCUUCCAAGUUAUCAGGACAAGACCAUGUGAUCCAAACAG